rnacentral:rRNA from 1 species
GCCAGACUCCUACGGGAGGCAGCAGUGGGGAAUAUUGCACAAUGGGGGAAACCCUGAUGCAGCGACGCCGCGUGAGUGAAGAAGUAUUUCGGUAUGUAAAGCUCUCUCAGCAGGGAAGAAAAUGACGGUACCUGAUUAAGAAGCCCCGGCUAACUACGUGCCAGCAGCCGCGGUAAUACGUAGGGGGCAAGCGUUAUCCGGAUUUACUGGGUGUAAAGGGAGCGUAGACGGUGAUGCAAGUCAGAAGUGAAAGCCCGGGGCUCAACUCCGGGACUGCUUUUGAAACUGUGUGACUGGAGUGCAGGAGAGGUAAGCGGAAUUCCUGGUGUAGCGGUGAAAUGCGUAGAUAUCAGGAGGAACACCAGUGGCGAAGGCGGCUUACUGGACUGUAACUGACGUUGAGGCUCGAAAGCGUGGGGAGCAAACAGGAUUAGAUACCCCCGUA